UUUGUACAAGCGCAGGCAGGCAGGCAGGCACACCAGGAUGGAUCGUGUCUCGAUCUGCCUUUGACAAAAGCAAGCUCUCAUAUGUACACAAGCAAAGGCAAACGCCGGGUUGGGUUAGCAGGACGCCGGCACCAGCGGCGGUUUCAUCUCAUCCUCUGCUUCGUCGUCUUCAUCCUCUUCCGCGUCCCACAGGAAACUCGCGUACGAUCCAAGCACGUAGCAGUCAUCGGGCGCGGCCUGGACGGCGCGCUCCAGGUAGGCGGCGGCGCGGUCCUUGUCCUGACUCGUCUCCCACAGCAGCUGGCCGUAGA
rnacentral:misc_RNA from 1 species